rfam:Populus trichocarpa scaffold_2_contig_42, whole genome shotgun sequence.
UGAAAUAAUGUAGGUAAGGUAAGUCGGUAAAAUGAAUUUAUAACUUAAGGAAAAGGAUUGGUUUUGAGGGUUGGUCUUGAGGGUUUCAGUCCCAAACCCAUCGGUUGUUGGUGGAUUGCUCGAGCUGUUCUUGUGGAGAGAGUGGGUCAUCGCGUGUUGGCCGAGAGAUGGACUGGGAACGACCCCUUCGAGGGUCUUCCCAGAGCGUUGAACAAUCGACUAAGAGCUCGUACGGACAAGGAGAAUCCAACUAUUUAAUUAAAACAAAGCAUUGCGAUGGUUCUUGGAGAUGCUCACGCAAUGUGAUUUAUGUCCAGUGCUCUGAAUGUCAAAGUGAAAAAAUUCAACCAAGCGCAGUAAACAGCAGGAGUAAUUAUGACUCUCUUAAGAUAGUCAAAUGCCUCGUUAUCUAAUUAGUGAUACGCAUGAAUGAAUUAAUAAGAUUUUCAAUGUCUCUGUCUACUAUCUAGUGAAACCACAACCAAGAAAACGGGCUUGG